rnacentral:sRNA from 1 species
GUGCAGCAGCAGCUGCUGCUCCUGCUGGUGCAGCAGCAGCUGCUGCUGCUGCUAGUGCAGCAGCAGCUGCUGCUCCUGCUGGUGCAGCAGCAGCUGCUCCUUCUGCUGGUGCAGCAGCAGCUGCUGCUCCUGCUGGUGCAGCAGCAGCUGCUGCUGCUGCGUUUGUUGCUGCUGCAGCUGCAGUUGCUGCAGCAGUUGCAGCAGCUGCUGCUUUUGUUGCUGCUGCAGCUGCUGUUGCUGCAGCAGCAGCAGCAGCAGCAGCAGCAGCAGCAAUAUAAU